UUUCUACAUUAUCGCAACUGCCAGAGCUCUUACUGCUGCAGUUUUCUAGUCGCAGUGCGGCAAAGCAGACGCAUAGAACCAGGCACAAAGCAGCAUAGAUUUUUUUUUAUUCUUGUCUUUUUCAUACAAGGGAAAUUUUCCUGGUAUUAGCUUAGGAACAGACACGCAGCCUGGAUGUGUUGGCUUCAGCCUGGCAGCAUUUUCAGCUGAGCAGGGAAUGCUCGGAGCUCUGUACCCAAAUCGCCUCUGAGGAAGAACGCCUGGUUUCCCACUUUGUGUGCUAAGAGGUUUUUUUGUUGGGGUUUUUUGUUGUGGUGGUUUUUUUUUAAUGCUGCAGUGAUACACCUGCAGCAUUCGGACAGAAGAGAUGGCACUUGUCACUGUUUGUCCAACUGGGGCCUUUGCAGGCACCACACUGCCGAAGCUGUGCCAGCCUCCCCGAGUCAUAUAGAUUGGUAACAGAAACUGCCGCAAUUUCUUACUUCAGUUAAAGCAAAGCUCAGACAAGAAACCAGACUCUCUGACCUAAAUCAGUCCCAGUCCUUCUGGAUACAGGGCAGCAGUCGACUAGCAAUGACACAACCAGCCAUCAAGUGGAGAGUCUCUGGGAUUGCAAUCUGUAUCAGUUGGAGUCUGAGAGAAUGAAACCCUUUCAGUUAUCCAGUUGCUUCUCCUUCUUCUGAUACUACAAUUACGACAACUACUACUACUUCUGUUUUUCUUGCCUGUGAGAAGCUAUUUGUUAUGCUUGGUCUCUGAGUGUGUAUUUUGCGUGGAUUAGUCUGCCUAUAAUGCAAUCCUUAUCUGCUCCUGCUGGAAAUCAGGGCACGAAGUCAGCCUGCUUUAACAGUUGUUUCUUUCUGCGUGAUGCUAUGCAACUAGAAUGGGUUAUACUGACAACAAAGGAACAAGCACAAAGCACCACUUUUUUUGCUGGACUGUUACAGGAGCAUAACUCUUCUUCGAUAUGAUGCCCUGGUCUCUUCUCUUUGCUGUUUUUUGUUUGUUUGUUUUCAAUUUUGUUUAUUUCAUCUCAUCGAAGAGCCUCACAGACACCAUCGGAUGUGGUUUUUAAUGAUUUGGAAAAGACAGCCUGUGGAGACUGCGACUUGAGACAGCAACACAUUUAGGUUAUUGCCAAUUUGAAAUACUUGGUUUGUGAAGCACAGCCCUAAGGGACGAGCUCAGUAACUGAGAAAGAGAUUGUAGAUAAAGAAAUAAAAAUGACAAGCGUAAUGGAGGCUCUGCAAAAGAGACUGUCAGAGAAUCAGUUCAUGGAUGGCAAUUUCACCAGUCUGAAUCUGAAUAAUUCAUAGAUUGAAAUUACCCUGCUUUCACCUUUCCAUUUAAACCGGCAUGAUCUGAAUCUCUAAUAAAUUUUCAAGAUAAAGUAAAAUGCCAAUUUGAAUGUGAAGAGCUUUUAAAACCAGAUGCUACACCCUGAAUCUUUCGAUACCUUUCACAAUUAUCCUGUGAGAACCGCACUUCAUCACGAAGCACCAUUACCAGUGAAAAUUACUGUGAUUACAAUAGCAACAAUAGAAUACCAUCAAAUGAUCUCUAAUUUACCUAAUUUACCAAGGCUGACUGUGUGCCCAUUGUGUUUCACUACGUCUGGCAUUGGAUCAAUAUCACAGUGGAACAAAAAUGCCUUAGUGUGCUUCCUUUUGGCACCUUUAAGUUUGACAGCACAGGGGAAAAAGAAAUCUAUCUACUGUUAAAUGUUUUUACAGCCAAACUAGAUGCUUGCUGUAUGAUCUGAUUGAUUCUCUAUGAUUUUCUUUAGUCGUUGGGUAUUGAAUGUCAUUGUGUUACUAAUUUGUUUAUAACGUGUACUCAUGCACAAAGGCUGCAGCAAGCGAGUACCAGCAGAGAGACCCUGCACUGCUGCUGCAGUAGCUGCGCUCUCGCAGGGGAAACCAAAAUGAGUUCGGUGCCUUAUGUGAAUAAUUACUCAUGUCUCUGUUAGAAAUGCUUUCUAGCAUCACCGGUCUUGGUUGUGCUACAUGAAAAAUGUAUGCCAGAGCCACGGUCAAGAAAAAUGAUUGUGUGUAAUACUAACAAGAUUUCCCCCCCCCUAUUCAGCAAUUACCAUGUGGUGGUGGGAGACAGGCUGCGACUCCUUCUCUAGAUGUGGGUAUGUAGGUGCGCAUGCACGUACACAAAUGUAAAGGUACUGUGCUUUCUGGAUAUGUGCUAAUCACUGAAAGUAACAACUUUGCCUGACAAGCCAGGCACGGUGUUUUGCCACAAUCUGCUCGGUUGUGACAAAUCUCUGUUUUGGAGGUGUAAAUUUCCUAUAGGAUGGUGCAUGACUUCAGGAACAGUGAGCACCAUUUCAGCAAUAUGUUGAUGCUUAUAGCUGUACUGCAGAAUUGUAUUUUAAGCAUGGUUUGAGUCCUUGUAGCAUAAUAGCAAUAACGUGGAGAAGUGAGAAACGUGUAUAGAAGGCAACAAACAGGCAUUCCUCAUGGAGACGACUGUAUCUGCAGUGUGUAUGUCUGUGAGUUUUACACUUCGGGCUUAUUUUCCAUUUCAUAACCAGAUUUACUCUGCCUUCAGGGAAUAUUUUCGAAGGAAGGAAGGAAGUUGAUGAACAAGCACCAACAAGAAGCUUGUAACGGUGCAUACUGCAGCUGAUGAUACAGUUUCUUCUACAAUAAAUCUUUGAGCAUCCCUGUAGAGCUGAUAGAUGUGGACUACUGACUGAUAUACUAAGCAGGUGUUCUGGACUGUGCUGCUGAAGAACUGACUUGGAAGUCCUAAAGAAGGCACUGAAGCUGAGAUACGCGUGCAUUUCUGUCUGAUGUCACUGGAGAUAAAGAUGGAAAAUACCUCAAAAGACUGGGCUCACUCGUGUGCCUUUGGUCCUCAUCUCACAAAGCAAACUGGGCAAGGAUCAACAAAAUGAGAGAGGAAUUGUGGCCUCUGGCAGGAGACAGGAUUGCUCUACUAAGAGACAAAAAGUUGUCAUCUAAAGCUCAGCCAGAUUAGCUCUCGUCACCUCAGAUACAGAUACAAGUCCAUAUCUUUUGGAUGAAAUUUUCCUGCCUGCUGGACUGCCAGCCAGAGCACUUCAAGUAAGGUAUAUCCAUUAAUAAAGUGCAGACCCACUAGGACAAUAUAUAUUUAAAUGACAGAUAUAUUCUGGUAGCACUCUCACAAGUUGCUUUCCUUACUUUGGCUUUUUACAGUUAGCAUGCCUCAUGUAGCAGCCUGCCCAACUCUCCAUAUGCCUCUAGGUCAUUGUUAAUGUCUAUUGCAGUUUUAUGAAGGAGUUCUGGAUGGUACUUGUCACAGACAGCUUGGUCAGAGGGAAACUGUAAACCCCAGCCUCCCUGGAAUGUUGGUGUUCCUAUGCUCCUGCUCCAAAAUACUGCAAUGGUUGAGAAGAGAAGGCUCUAGGGAGACCUUAUUGUGGCCUUUCACUACUAAAAGGGAGCUUGUAAUAAGGAUGGUGGCACUCCAUUUAGUUGUGGCAGGACAAGAGGUGGUGAUUUUAUACAAAAGCAGGGAGAUUUAGAACAGAUAUAAGGAAGAAAAGUUUUACAAUGAGGAUAUGAGGAAGAAAACUUUUACAGUGAGGAUGGUGAAACACCGGCACGCGUUGCCCAGAGAGGUGGUAGAUGCCCCAUCCAUGGAAAUGUUCAAGGUCAGGUUGGGCAGGGCUCUGAGCAACCUGAUCUUGUUAAAGAUGUCCCUGCUUACUGCAAGAGAGGUGGACUAGAUGGCCUUCACAGGUCCUUUCCAACCCAAAACUUUCCACAAUUGUAUGAUCCUAUGCAUUAUCAUCCUGUGCAGCACACCACACAGCAACUGCUGGGAUACUGCCAAGCAAUGCACUAGUAUCUACCCUGCAGAUUAAGCUACUGACACUCACCAGCUGCUAGUUGUGUCAAAGAACUCGAACACCUCCCUCUUAGGAAAGACAAAUAUUGUAAAUGAUAACAAUUCUCCUAACAAACAAAGGUAACAAUUAAGAGGGAAAAAAGUAAUAUCUUCCAUUUGAAAACUUUGUUCAGAAUAAUUUGAAACUGUAGACAAACACAUCAGCUUAAAUGAAAGGAAAAAUAAUUGGGGAGAAAGCAUCCAUAGCCGCAGUAUUUGCCACUUGAGUUCUUCUAUACCAAACAGCUACACUAACUGUAAUGAAAUUAGACUUACUAUGUAUAUAUGAGCAUUAAAACAAAAGCAAAACCCCAACAGAAACCAAUUAAGGAAUCCACUAUGGUAGUGAUCAAAUUUAAGGGAAACAAAGUGGAAGCCUGUAAAAGACAUAUCAAGAGUAACAGCCCCAAGAGGAAGACACUUCCCAGCAGCUUGAAGUCUCAGGAGUAAAUACUUUAGGAAAAGCUGCCAUGGUUAAACAGAGGAAGUUUAUUGAAAAAGAAAAAGUUGAAGGGAAAAGAAGAUCAUAAACCAAACCCACAUCAUAUGCCCCAAAAGAUAUUGACAACCAUCAAAAACUUGAAGUUAAUGUGCAAGGAUAUCUGUCAAAGAGCAGGAGCAGUAGAUUGCUAAGAUACAGAAGGAGCACACAGGAGAGAGAAAACCAUGGCCGUGAACUGAAGGAAUUCUUUGCAUCCCUAUUUGCUAUAAACUCAAGGAGGUUCCUUUGUUGGAAACAUUCUUAAUACAAGAUAAAUUGGAGAGAUCACUGAAAACUAUUUAUCAGUAAGUUUCUAAGGAACAGAGAAACUAAGCAGUAGCAAUUUCAAAGAACAACCAAAACUACGACUGUUCUGCAAGGAAAGGGGAAGAAGAGAAGUCUUUACAACCAUGAAUAGCAAACCUAGGUCAAACAGGGAAUGGAAGUUUUUGUAUCAUGAAAGGCAGUGAACAAGAAUGCAUCAAAUCAUUAACUAAUUUGAAACAGAUAAAACCAGAGGUAUUCCCUCAUAUAAUAUUUCAUUGCCACAAAAUGUUGUGGCUUAUAGGAUUUGACAUGAUUUAAAGAUGUCUUGGACAAAUUAAUGCACUGGGACCUAUGAAAUAGAAAGGCUCUACCUCUGUCUUUGGGAGUCAUGUAGCUAGAAGCUGGGAAUAUAUGACAGGUAGCUAUCACUACACUCUUUGAUCAUGAUGUUAUAAUAGACUCAAGUAGUUGUCCUCCACUUCUGAUCACUUGCAGGAGCCAGGAUACUGGCCUAGAUGGAUAUUUCUUUUAGCCUUAGCUGCUGUAGCUCUUCUUACAUGGUGUUCUUAAGUAGCUCCUGAAGUUUGUGGAAAGCCUUCUGUGGAUUCAGAUCAACCUGAAUAAGAGUCAGUUAAGGGCUCCAAAAAGAAUUAAACUCAAAGAAACUAUGAAAAGGUAACUAAGAGAGAUGGUAAUGUAAAGAAAAGAGAAAGCAGAAUUAAACUUGCAUAUGGUCUUUAACUCUUAAAGUAAAAAGUGACACCACACAUGAGAUGACAGAAAAUAAUUCUUCAUCCCUGUAUAAGAAGAAAAUACU